CGGCGGACGGGUGAGUAAUGCCUAGGAAUCUGCCUGGUAGUGGGGGAUAACGUUCGGAAACGGACGCUAAUACCGCAUACGUCCUACGGGAGAAAGCAGGGGACCUUCGGGCCUUGCGCUAUCAGAUGAGCCUAGGUCGGAUUAUCUAGUUGGUGGGGUAAUGGCUCACCAAGGCGACGAUCCGUAACUGGUCUGAGAGGAUGAUCAGUCACACUGGAACUGAGACACGGUCCAGACUCCUACGGGAGGCAGCAGUGGGGAAUAUUGGACAAUGGGCGAAAGCCUGAUCCAGCCAUGCCGCGUGUGUGAAGAAGGUCUUCGGAUUGUAAAGCACUUUAAGUUGGGAGGAAGGGUUGUAGAUUAAUACUCUGCAAUUUUGACGUUACCGACAGAAUAAGCACCGGCUAACUCUGUGCCAGCAGCCGCGGUAAUACAGAGGGUGCAAGCGUUAAUCGGAAUUACUGGGCGUAAAGCGCGCGUAUGUGGUUUGUUAAGUUGGAUGUGAAAUCCCCGGGCUCAACCUG
rnacentral:rRNA from 1 species